UACGUAGGGGGCUAGCGUUGUCCGGAAUCAUUGGGCGUAAAGAGCGCGUAGGCGGCCAGAUAAGUCCGGUGUGAAAGUCACAGGCUCAACCUGUGAAUGCCGCUGGAAACUGUCUGGCUUGAGGCCGGGAGGGGGUAGCGGAAUUCCCAGUGUAGCGGUGAAAUGCGUAGAUACUGGGAGGAACACCAGUGGCGAAGGCGGCUACCUGGACCGGUUCUGACGCUGAGGCGCGAAAGCGUGGGUAGCAAACAGG
rnacentral:rRNA from 1 species